UACGUAGGGUGCAAGCGUUGUCCGGAAUUAUUGGGCGUAAAGAGCUCGUAGGCGGUUUGUCACGUCUGCUGUGAAAACUCGGGGCUUAACUCCGGGCCUGCAGUGGGUACGGGCAGACUAGAGUGCGGUAGGGGAGACUGGAAUUCCUGGUGUAGUGGUGAAAUGCGCAGAUAUCGGAAGGAACAUCAGUGGCGAAAGCGGCUUCCUGGUCCAGCACCGACGUUCAGGCACGAAAGCGUGGGGAGCAAACAGG
rnacentral:rRNA from 1 species